rnacentral:misc_RNA from 1 species
GAAAUGCGAUAAUUAAUGUGAAUUGCAGAAUUCAGUGAAUCAUCGAGUCUUUGAACGCACAUUGCGCCCCCUGGUAUUCCGGGGGGCAUGCCUGUCCGAGCGUCAUUGCUGCCCUCAAGCACGGCUUGUGUGUUGGGCUUCCGUCCCUGGCAACGGGGACGGGCCCAAAAGGCAGUGGCGGCACCAUGUCUGGUCCUCGAGCGUAUGGGGCUUUGUCACCCGCUCCCGUAGGUCCAGCUGGCAGCUAGCCUCGCAACCAAUCUUUUUAACCAGGUUGACCUCGGAUCAGGUAGGGAUCCCCGCUGAACUUAAGC